CGACCGGCGCACGGGUGAGUAACACGUAUCCAACCUGCCGUCUACUCUUGGACAGCCUUCUGAAAGGAAGAUUAAUACAAGAUGGCAUCAUGAGUCCGCAUGUUCACAUGAUUAAAGGUAUUCCGGUAGACGAUGGGGAUGCGUUCCAUUAGAUAGUAGGCGGGGUAACGGCCCACCAAGACUACGAUGGAUAGGGGUUCUGAGAGGAAGGCCCCCCACAUUGGAACUGAGACACGGUCCAAACUCCUACGGGAGGCAGCAUG
rnacentral:rRNA from 1 species